rnacentral:rRNA from 1 species
UACGUAGGGCGCAAGCGUUGUCCGGAAUUAUUGGGCGUAAAGAGCUCGUAGGUGGUUUGCUACGUCCGCUGUGAAAACCUAGGGCUUAACCCUGGGCCUGCAGUGGAUACGGACAGACUAGAGGUAGGUAGGGGAGAAUGGAAUUCCCGGUGUAGCGGUGAAAUGCGCAGAUAUCGGGAGGAACACCGGUGGCGAAGGUGGUUCUCUGGGCCUUACCUGACACUGAGGAGCGAAAGCGUGGGGAGCGAACAG